rnacentral:lncRNA from 1 species
GCUACCUUGCCUUCCUGAUGUACUCUGCCCCCUGCAGCUGUAAGCCGAGACACGCCCUUCCAUCCUAAACUUGCCUUUGUCAGGAAGAAGAAGAAAAGACUAUCAUGGUGAUGUGGACUGAGACUUCAGACACUAUAGACCGUGUGAAAUCCAGGCUGUGAAAGUGGCUCAAGUGGGUGAAGCACUUGCCUUAUGUGUGUGAGGACCUGCAUUUGAGUCUCCAGCACUCCUCCUGGGAUGUGGGAAGUGGAGAAUCAAUCCCCUGGAGCAGGCAGUUGAGUACCAGAAUGGGUAUGUGGCGAUCAAGAGAUAACCUGGAGCGUUCACUCACUCCUUCAAUGUGGGACCCAGGGAUCAAACUCACGUCCUCAGCACUUGACAGCAAGUGCCUUUAUUUUGCCCCUGAGCCAUCUCACUGACUCUGGCACGCCAUAUAUUUAAUCAGUAACUUUUUUUUUCUUGUUAGUAAUAAAUAAUGAAUAAAUAAAUAAA